GCGCGGAGCGUGCCGCGCCGCGCCUCUCGUAGUGGCGGCUCGGGGCUGAGGAGAUGGAGUCGGAGGCGCGGCGGCGGCGGCCGCAGCACCAGGAGCGAAGCGCGGCGGACGAAGGGCGGCCGCUGGCUCUGUCGGGGCAGUCCUACUGGCUGGACCUGUGGCUCUUCCUCCUCUUCGAUGUGGCGCUCUUUGUGUUCAUCUACCUGCUGCCCUGAUGCGCCGGGCCCAGAGCCACCUGGAUCAGGAAUCACUGGAUGCACCUUAUGAAAACAAGCAGGACCAUUUGGAGGAGCAGCGUUUUUGCACAGCAUAGACAAGAAGAGAACAAGACUUCCCAUUCAUGGAAAUGCAAGAGGCCCCCGGCUGUAUUAUGAGUAUUGUCUUUAGGAUUGUGCCUGUAUCUUGUCUUUCCAUGUUCUAAAUUGUGCCUUUCAGGAUAGGAGACAGCUUGACUGUGCUUUUGUAAUUUGCUUGAAGACUUGAGUGUAAAUGAAAAUAUGCAUUGUUUGAAUAAAAUCAACCAAAAGGACAAGUAAUAGAGUGAGAAUAAAAUCCAGCAGCUUCAGACUGAAA